rnacentral:rRNA from 1 species
CCAUGCAUGUCUAGUAUAAGCUUUAUACUGGGGAAACUGCCAAAGGGUCCAUAAAACCAUUUUAGUUUAUUUGAAGGUGUUUCUACUCGGAUAACCACCGUAAAAAUUCAGCAAAUAAUACAUGUAAAUCCCGACCACUAAGGGACGUAUUUAUUAAAUAAAAAGCCGACCGGGCUUUGCCCGACCUUCGGUGAAUCAUAAUAACUUCACGAAUCGCAUGGUCCUGAACCGGCGAUGUUUCAUUCAAAUUUCUGCCCUAUCAACUUUUACGGUAGGGUAGUGGCCUACCGUGGUGGUAACGGGUAACGGAGGAUUAAGGUUCCUUCCCGAAGGGAACUGAAACGGCUACCCAUCCAGAAGGGCCGGCGCCAUUAACCAUCCAUUCGG